rnacentral:rRNA from 1 species
UACGUAGGGGGCGAGCGUUGUCCGGAAUCAUUGGGCGUAAAGAGCGUGUAGGCGGCCCGGUAAGUCCGCUGUGAAAGUCCAGGGCUCAACCCUGGAAUGCCGGUGGAAACUGUCGGGCUAGAGUCCGGAAGAGGCGAGUGGAAUUCCUGGUGUAGCGGUGAAAUGCGCAGAUAUCAGGAGGAACACCAAUGGCGAAGGCAGCUCGCUGGGACGGUACUGACGCUGAGACGCGAAAGCGUGGGGAGCAAACAGG